GAUGAAGAACGUAGCGAAAUGCGAUAAGUAAUGUGAAUUGCAGAAUUCAGUGAAUCAUCGAAUCUUUGAACGCACCUUGCGCUCCUUGGUAUUCCGAGGAGCAUGCCUGUUUGAGUGUCAUGAAAUUCUCAACCUUUUCAGCUUUCUUUGUUGAUCAGGCUUGGAUGUGGGAGUAUGCGGGCUUCUCAGAAGUCGGCUCUCCUGAAAUGCAUUAGCGGGACCUUUGUUGCCUGGCUUUGGUGUGAUAAUUAUCUACGCCAUUGUAGUCAAGCAGCUUAAAAUGAGGUUUCAGCUUCUAACCGUCUCCACUGAGACAACUUUUUGACAAUUUGACCUCAAAUCAGGUAGGACUACCCGCUGAACUUAAGCAUAUCAAUAAGCGGAGGA
rnacentral:misc_RNA from 1 species